rnacentral:rRNA from 1 species
GACGAACGCUGGCGGCGUGCCUAAUACAUGCAAGUCGAGCGAAGUUUUUCUGGUGCUUGCACUAGAAAAACUUAGCGGCGAACGGGUGAGUUACACGUAAAGAACCUGCCUCAUAGACUGGGACAACUAUUGGAAACGAUAGCUAAUACCGGAUAACAGUAUUUCUCGCAUGAGAGAUAUUUAAAAGUUGGUUAUGCUAACACUAUGAGAUGGCUUUGCGGUGCAUUAGCUAGUUGGUGGGGUAAAGGCCCACCAAGGCGACGAUGCAUAGCCGACCCGAGAGGGUGAUCGGCCACACUGGGACUGAGACACGGCCCAGACUCCUACGGGAGGCAGCAGUAGGGAAUCUUCCGCAAUGGGCGAAAGCCUGACGGAGCAACGCCGCGUGAGUGAAGAAGGAUUUCGGUUCGUAAAGCUCUGUUGUUAGGGAAGAAUGGAUAUGUAGUAACUAUACAUGUAAGAGGCGGUACCUAACCAGAAAGCCACGGCUAACUACGUG